rnacentral:rRNA from 1 species
GGUUAAGCGACUAAGCGUACACGGUGGAUGCCCUGGCAGUCAGAGGCGAUGAAGGACGUGCUAAUCUGCGAUAAGCGUCGGUAAGGUGAUAUGAACCGUUAUAACCGGCGAUUUCCGAAUGGGGAAACCCAGUGUGUUUCGACACACUAUCAUUAACUGAAUCCAUAGGUUAAUGAGGCGAACCGGGGGAACUGAAACAUCUAAGUACCCCGAGGAAAAGAAAUCAACCGAGAUUCCCCCAGUAGCGGCGAGCGAACGGGGAGCAGCCCAGAGCCUGAAUCAGUAUGUGUGUUAGUGGAAGCGUCUGGAAAGGCGCGCGAUACAGGGUGACAGCCCCGUACACAAAAAUGCACAUGCUGUGAGCUCGAUGAGUAGGGCGGGACACGUGGUAUCCUGUCUGAAUAUGGGGGGACCAUCCUCCAAGGCUAAAUACUCCUGACUGACCGAUAGUGAACCAGUACCGUGAGGGAAAGGCGAAAAGAACCCCGGCGAGGGGAGUGAAAAAGAACCUGAAACCGUGUACGUACAAGCAGUGGGAGCACGCUUAGGCGUGUGACUGCGUACCUUUUGUAUAAUGGGUCAGCGACUUAUAUUCUGUAGCAAGGUUAACCGAAUAGGGGAGCCGAAGGGAAACCGAGUCUUAACUGGGCGUUAAGUUGCAGGGUAUAGACCCGAAACCCGGUGAUCUAGCCAUGGGCAGGUUGAAGGUUGGGUAACACUAACUGGAGGACCGAACCGACUAAUGUUGAAAAAUUAGCGGAUGACUUGUGGCUGGGGGUGAAAGGCCAAUCAAACCGGGAGAUAGCUGGUUCUCCCCGAAAGCUAUUUAGGUAGCGCCUCGUGAAUUCAUCUCCGGGGGUAGAGCACUGUUUCGGCAAGGGGGUCAUCCCGACUUACCAACCCGAUGCAAACUGCGAAUACCGGAGAAUGUUAUCACGGGAGACACACGGCGGGUGCUAACGUCCGUCGUGAAGAGGGAAACAACCCAGACCGCCAGCUAAGGUCCCAAAGUCAUGGUUAAGUGGGAAACGAUGUGGGAAGGCCCAGACAGCCAGGAUGUUGGCUUAGAAGCAGCCAUCAUUUAAAGAAAGCGUAAUAGCUCACUGGUCGAGUCGGCCUGCGCGGAAGAUGUAACGGGGCUAAACCAUGCACCGAAGCUGCGGCAGCGACACUAUGUGUUGUUGGGUAGGGGAGCGUUCUGUAAGCCUGUGAAGGUGUGCUGUGAGGCAUGCUGGAGGUAUCAGAAGUGCGAAUGCUGACAUAAGUAACGAUAAAGCGGGUGAAAAGCCCGCUCGCCGGAAGACCAAGGGUUCCUGUCCAACGUUAAUCGGGGCAGGGUGAGUCGACCCCUAAGGCGAGGCCGAAAGGCGUAGUCGAUGGGAAACAGGUUAAUAUUCCUGUACUUGGUGUUACUGCGAAGGGGGGACGGAGAAGGCUAUGUUGGCCGGGCGACGGUUGUCCCGGUUUAAGCGUGUAGGCUGGUUUUCCAGGCAAAUCCGGAAAAUCAAGGCUGAGGCGUGAUGACGAGGCACUACGGUGCUGAAGCAACAAAUGCCCUGCUUCCAGGAAAAGCCUCUAAGCAUCAGGUAACAUCAAAUCGUACCCCAAACCGACACAGGUGGUCAGGUAGAGAAUACCAAGGCGCUUGAGAGAACUCGGGUGAAGGAACUAGGCAAAAUGGUGCCGUAACUUCGGGAGAAGGCACGCUGAUAUGUAGGUGAAGUCCCUCGCGGAUGGAGCUGAAAUCAGUCGAAGAUACCAGCUGGCUGCAACUGUUUAUUAAAAACACAGCACUGUGCAAACACGAAAGUGGACGUAUACGGUGUGACGCCUGCCCGGUGCCGGAAGGUUAAUUGAUGGGGUUAGCCGCAAGGCGAAGCUCUUGAUCGAAGCCCCGGUAAACGGCGGCCGUAACUAUAACGGUCCUAAGGUAGCGAAAUUCCUUGUCGGGUAAGUUCCGACCUGCACGAAUGGCGUAAUGAUGGCCAGGCUGUCUCCACCCGAGACUCAGUGAAAUUGAACUCGCUGUGAAGAUGCAGUGUACCCGCGGCAAGACGGAAAGACCCCGUGAACCUUUACUAUAGCUUGACACUGAACAUUGAGCCUUGAUGUGUAGGAUAGGUGGGAGGCUUAGAAGUGUGGACGCCAGUCUGCAUGGAGCCGACCUUGAAAUACCACCCUUUAAUGUUUGAUGUUCUAACGUUGACCCGUAAUCCGGGUUGCGGACAGUGUCUGGUGGGUAGUUUGACUGGGGCGGUCUCCUCCUAAAGAGUAACGGAGGAGCACGAAGGUUGGCUAAUCCUGGUCGGACAUCAGGAGGUUAGUGCAAUGGCAUAAGCCAGCUUGACUGCGAGCGUGACGGCGCGAGCAGGUGCGAAAGCAGGUCAUAGUGAUCCGGUGGUUCUGAAUGGAAGGGCCAUCGCUCAACGGAUAAAAGGUACUCCGGGGAUAACAGGCUGAUACCGCCCAAGAGUUCAUAUCGACGGCGGUGUUUGGCACCUCGAUGUCGGCUCAUCACAUCCUGGGGCUGAAGUAGGUCCCAAGGGUAUGGCUGUUCGCCAUUUAAAGUGGUACGCGAGCUGGGUUUAGAACGUCGUGAGACAGUUCGGUCCCUAUCUGCCGUGGGCGCUGGAGAACUGAGGGGGGCUGCUCCUAGUACGAGAGGACCGGAGUGGACGCAUCACUGGUGUUCGGGUUGUCAUGCCAAUGGCACUGCCCGGUAGCUAAAUGCGGAAGAGAUAAGUGCUGAAAGCAUCUAAGCACGAAACUUGCCCCGAGAUGAGUUCUCCCUGACUCCUUGAGAGUCCUGAAGGAACGUUGAAGACGACGACGUUGAUAGGCCGGGUGUGUAAGCGCAGCGAUGCGUUGAGCUAACCGGUACUAAUGAACCGUGAGGCUUAACCUU